UUUAUAGUGCAAGCGUGCAAAAAGUUUGCCAGCAAGCACCACUAAGUAUGUACUUAUUUAUUAAAAUAGCAAAUCAACAUAUGAGGCUACAUUUCAUUUGGAUACUAAUCCUUGUGAGGAACAAGACACCAAAAACGUACAACAACCUCCCUAGAUUCAUCAAGCAAUGCAUAGCACAAAUUCAUACGUAUUGCAAAAACGUUUUCGGCCCUUUAAGGAAAACAAUAUUCCAUUCUUGUUCAAGAAUUAGUAGGAGCAAGAGUUGUUCUUGGAGAGCUCAAGUAAAUGUUGUUGAUGAAUAUAUCAAGUGAGGUAUGAUGUCCUCUCCUACAGUUGCAAGAUUAAAUCAGCAACGUGAAUUCUUUUGGCAAGCAUCAACGUGUUUUAUUCUAUUUUAGGCGGAUUGGAGGUUUCUUCGAACUGAAGAAAGGUGGAAGAAGAGUAGUUAACGGAAUAUAAGGCUAAAAGAGCGACGAGACGAACGAGUUACGAAUAGCCGCUAACAGGUACAGACGCACAGUUUGGUGAUCCACCAGUUUAGGACACCCUCUUUCGCUGUUUGGAGUGCUCAUCUUAUUCCGGAGCCUACAUUUUGGUAUAUAUACUUGUUUGAUGCAUAUGUAUAUAUUUGUUCAGGGGUACGGCGGGGCCCUGUUCCGCCAUAUGAUCUGUUUGGUCUGUUUAGAGGUCUGUAGACGUAUUUGUGGGUGUGUGUGCCUACUUCUGUACAGAUGUGUUUGUAUGACCCUGUUCGUUAUGGCAGCCUUGUCGGCGUGCACUUUGUAUAUGUUUUGGGCCGUUGCGCCAUCUGUUAGCCUUGCCGGCUUUUUGAUAUAAGUAUAUGUAUAUGUUUGCGUUGAAA